GCCGAGUGACUGGUUGGCUGGGCGAUGUGGUGUCGUUUUUUGCAUUUUAUUAUCUCCCAUCACAUAACCUCACAAUAUUUUGGCGGGCGUUGCUCUACAGAAAUUAUAGCUGUUAUAUUUAUUUUUAUAAAUAAAGAAGUGGCCGCCGGCUGGCUGAAUGGUUGAAAAGAAUUUAAUCUCGUUGGUGGUGUUAAUUUUUAAUUAGGAAAAACAACAACACCACAUACACUGGCAAACACAAGAAGACAGGCCCCUUUCUGCUGCUAACAACAGCGCCAUAAGAGCAACAGCCAAAGAAGGGAGGUUCGUUCAUUGCUAAGUGAAAUUGUGUGUAGAAUUUUGGUUGCUUUACUUUCUUCGCAUUUUUGAGCGCCCAAUACAUCAGCAACAGGGAAAGGCCCUGAAAUUUCGAAUAUUGUUCGUCGUCAUUCUUCGUUUUUGUUUGAUAUGAAUGAUGUUGGGCGACUCGUGUUGCUUCGUGGAACAAAAGACUCCGUCAACAAUGCUGCAAUGGGUGUUGAUGAGUUGCAAUGUUCCGACAUCACUCAUCACUUGAGAUGUUCGAUUGAUUUAAAUGAAUCAGGAGAUUUUGAGUGAUUUUCUGCAAAAAUGAAUUUUUGUUUCAUUACUUGAUUACUCGUCCGCCAUACGGCAGUAGUGGAAUGGAGUCUCCUCAUUCAACAAUAUUUGCGGAACACCUUGUUAUUGCGCCAUGUAAUGGCCUAUAUGAUACUGAUUUUAAAAGUGAGGAAAAAUAUUGAAUAAAUGAAAACAACUUGUUGAAUGCAAAUUUGACAAGAAGCGGGCAUAGCCUCAGGGCUGUAAUUCUGUAGUUUUACGAAGCUGUUCUACCUCCUUAUUGUACCAUGGUCCAAAGAAUUCCUAAAAAUGUUGUGACAGCUCACUGUACCGGCAGCUGUGUUCAUGCGUCUACCUAUAUCUUUCUAUCAUGGCAUCUACCAAUGUUAUCGUGAAAAUAGAAUACCAGGAAAAAAUAUUGUCCAUACCCAUGACUCAAUCAAAAAUUUUGCUCAACUUCAAGAAACUAGGAAAAAUGCAACUAUGUACCAGAGUCUUAAGGUGCAAGUACAUAAAAAGCAGAAUGUUAAAAAAAAAACUUAACGCGCUUCACACCCUUUAAGUCCCAUAUAUAACGCCUACGAAUAGAAGACGGUGGGAUUCCCACUCAGAUUUCGUAACCCAAUGCGUCACACUGGAUAAGGAACUUUCUCACGAGUACGACUCGGGCUUAAACGAGGAUAAGUCUUAAACGAUUCCAUAGCGUCGGAGUUUAUAGCAAUCUUUUGUCCCUUUUUGAGGGUAUUGGUUAGAAAUGUGGAUAUUGGGACGAAAUUCUUGAUGAACCGUUGAUACCAUCCGGCAAUCUCCAGGAUGCUUCUUACAUUAAAUUAUUAUUUUUUUAAUAUAUAAAACAGAAUUUUAAUUCCUAUAGCGGUUAAAAUGAAUUUAAUUUUUUUAUUUGUUCCAGAAAUCAUAUGAUCUGUUAAGGUUUGGUAGGCUGAAUGUGGGCUGUGACUUCCGCCAAGCAUCCUUGUCUCCGGUGUCCCUUGGACGGAUGGUGUCUGGGUUGGGACCGAAGAAAUCCACAUCGUACGCCACCCAGAUCUCCGACGAGAGUUCUUUAUCCAGUGUGACGCAUUGAAGUACGGAAUCGGUGCAGUAUUAUUCCAAAAGGAUGAAGACGGCGGUGGGAAUCCCAUCGUCUUCUAUUCAUAGGCGAUAUAGGACUUAAAGGGUGAAGAUUGGAUGGGCUGUGACUUCCGCCAAGCAUCCUUGUCA